UACAGAGGGUGCGAGCGUUAAUCGGAAUUACUGGGCAUAAAGCGCACGUAGGUGGCGACGUAAGUCGGGUGUGAAAGCCCCGGGCUCAACCUGGGAAUUGCAUUCGAGACUGCAUUGCUGGAGUACGGAAGAGGAAGGCGGAAUUCCCGGUGUAGCGGUGAAAUGCGUAGAUAUCGGGAGGAACAUCAGUGGCGAAGGCGGCCUUCUGGUCCAGUACUGACACUCAAGUGCGAAAGCGUGGGGAGCAAACAGG
rnacentral:rRNA from 1 species